rnacentral:rRNA from 1 species
AGCAUUUGCUGUACCGCGUUGACGGAGCGAAGCGACGUCAAACCGAUAAAACAGCAGUGUAAAGUGAGCCGCAGGGCGCUUUGCGCGACAGCGCAAAGGCAGGCGGUUUCGCGUAGCGAAAGCGAAUGCUUUGGGGUGGGGUGACUGCGUACCUUUUGUAUAAUGGGUCAGCGACUUAUAUUCUGUAGCAAGGUUAACCGAAUAGGGGAGCCGGAGGGAAACCGAGUCUUAAUUGGGCGUUAAGUUGCAGGGUAUAGACCCGAAACCCGGUGAUCUAGCCAUGGGCAGGUUGAAGGUUGGGUAACACUAACUGGAGGACCGAACCGACUAAUGUUGAAAAAUUAGCGGAUGACCUGUGGCUGGGGGUGAAAGGCCAAUCAAACCGGGAGAUAGCUGGUUCUCCCCGAAAGCUAUUUAGGUAGCGCCUCGUGAAUUCAUCUCCGGGGGUAGAGCACUGUUUCGGCUAGGGGGCCAUCCCGGCUUACCAACCCGAUGCAAACUGCGAAUACCGGAGAAUGUUAUCACGGGAGACACACGGCGGGUGCUAACGUCCGUCGUGAAGAGGGAAACAACCCAGACCGCCAGCUAAGGUCCCAAAGUCAUGGUUAAGUGGGAAACGAUGUGGGAAGGCCCAGACAGCCAGGAUGUUGGCUUAGAAGCAGCCAUCAUUUAAAGAAAGCGUAAUAGCUCACUGGUCGAGUCGGCCUGCGCGGAAGAUGUAACGGGGCUAAACCAUGCACCGAAGCUGCGGCAGCGACACUGUGUGUUGUUGGGUAGGGGAGCGUUCUGUAAGCCUGUGAAG